CCUAUUAACACUUGUCACCGCUCUGUGUAUUUCUAGUCUGCCUUUCUCUUUUAUUAUGUACUAUUAGAAUGGGAAUGGCUUGGAUGCAGUAAAUAGUCUGGUGUACACUGGCAGCUGCGAGCAAUGAGCUGACAAGUGAUUUAGUCAAAAGGAGAUAUCUAACACUCCAAAGAUGUGUGUUUCUUAGGCAUUUUUGGACAGACACAAGGGCUGCUGAAUGGAGCUGGGGAGCUGCAUAUGCCAAUUAUGAUCUGUGACAAGCUUUUCUUCAUUAAAAUGACCUCAAAACCAGGCAAUGAGGCUGAUUCACAAGUAAGAGGCUCCUCAGACCUGUAGGAGAGCACACAGGUGCUUCAUCUGACCUGGUAACCCUGACUCUGCCCACACAAGCUAGGGCUGCCUCAGCUGGUGGGAGCACAGUGUCCUCUCCACCUCAACACCAGUCAGAGGCACAUGCUGUGAGCUUUGGGGUGCACUGCUCUGAUGGAGGAAGCGAAUGACCCCAUGUCUCACCUCCUGCAAGUGGUGUGAGUGAGGAGUGAGAGUUCAGAAAUUUAAUAGCCAAUACAGAUAUCAUAAAAGCCUGACUGUUGUUUGUGGUCAACGGUGCAGUUUUCUUUGAGCAGUGAGGAAGAGAAAUGUGUCUGUGUGUGAUGGAGAGUGGCAAUCAGUACUAAGAUGUGCACCCAGUUUGUUGGGAAAAGUAAUGGGAUAUAAAGGAAAGCAGGAGCAGAGUGAAGGAAGCACAGAAGAGCUGAUGGGAAGCCCCUGAGACUCAGAGGCAAUCUCUGUUCUCCCUUGCCAGCAUGCUGCAGUGUGAUGGAUAAGCGUCUAAAACAUGGGAAAACCUGAAGCAAGGAAGCACUCCUAUCCCUGAUGAAGAUGCAUCAUCACUGGGCUUGGUUCAAAAACCAUUAAAGCUUCUGAGUGGUUCCAGUGGGAAUGAGAACAACCCUUUUUCUGAAGAAAUAGAGGAGGGCUGUCGAUCAUCGUUCUGAAAAACCCUGCAAGUGAUGGACUGUGUCACUGUGAGCCGUGGAAUCGUCACUCCUUCCUCUUGGUUGGGGAGGCAUUGCAGAGUGGUGAUAAGCUGGGGUCAGAGCUGGUGGAGAUUGGAAACUAAAAAAGGACAUAAAUCUGGGAUGGGAUAGAAGUGGGGAAGGUGGAUCCUUGAAUAGAGAGCUGUCCAUUGACACAUCACUCAGUGGUCCCUCUUGCUGUUUUAAGCAGCACAAGCAAAAUCCUAUGGGCCACUCCAUAGCUGGGAAAGCUGCCGUUGAGAGCUGCCUGAAUAAGGGAUGAGCCUGGGCUGAUGUCCUCAGCAUAAUCCAGCCCUCCUGGAUGUGACUGAGGGAUGUGGAGGAGGCGAAAGACACUUGAAACAAGAUAGCUUAAAACCAUUUUGUAUCUAAUUUGCAGC
ensembl:lncRNA